GAUGAAGAACGUAGCGAAAUGCGAUAAGUAAUGUGAAUUGCAGAAUUCAGUGAAUCAUCGAAUCUUUGAACGCACAUUGCGCCCCCUGGUAUUCCGGGGGGCAUGCCUGUCCGAGCGUCAUUACAACCCUCAAGCUCAGCUUGGUAUUGGGCCCCGCCGACCCGGCGGGCCCUAAAGUCAGUGGCGGUGCCGUCCGGCUCCGAGCGUAGUAAUUCUUCUCGCUCUGGAGGUCCGGUCGUGUGCACGCCAGCAACCCCCAAUUUUUUUCAGGUUGACCUCGGAUCAGGUAGGGAUACCCGCUGAACUUAAGCAUAUCAAUAAGCGGAGGA
rnacentral:misc_RNA from 1 species